GAUGCAAAAUAGUUUCUUUUCAUGGAUAUGUAAAAAAAAAGCUGAAGAAAAAAGGGGUAUGAUUCACAAAACUGAAGGAGAACUCACAAUCUUACUUCUACAGAGAAUCAGGGCUGCCAUUUAUGCCAGGUUUUAAGGGUAAAAAAUUGAGAAUGGAUCUCCUUGGAGAGGAAGGAGAGAGAAUGGUACAUCUAAAGGAUGCAAUCUAUCAUCCUAAACAUUGGUCCCUUUAAUCUUAUGAAAAUGGAACUCUAAAACCUAACGAAAACAGCAGUUCAGAUGUAUUCCUUGGGCCAAGCCAAAACCAGACUGCAUUCUGUCAUCCUUACUCACAGUGAACAGUCACACAGACUGAAAUCAUUUCUGAAAUGGAGAUUACACAGAGAAGAAUGUCCUCAAUUACAUUUGUUAAAGCACUGAAAUCCAAAUGCAGGAGUGAUUCUUUACAUUAGAAGUCAAUUUUACAAAACAAACUACAUUCUUUGAGUGUAUACGGUAAUAACAGCAGAUUGUUCAGGAAGAAACACUUGUAGGUUAAGCUCUUGUUCACAUUGAGAAAGUAUUUAAGAAACACUGUAAAAGCUGUUUACGCUUUCCAUGUAUUACACAUAAAUAUUUGUUUAUGGAGCAACUGUGUGGUGCUUUGCCUUUGUCAGCAACUGGAAAUUGUUACUAAUAACUACAUUCAGGGUUAUAAGUGCCAUAACCCCUAUCUGACUCCAUGCAGUACUUUCCAAGAAAUUGCAAAGUGAGAACUCUGGCCUGGGCUUCAAGGAAAACUUAUGCUGAGAUACACAGAAGUGUUCUGUGAGAAACUUAAGUGCUUUCCAUACAGCCCA